GAGACUCUGUGCGCGUGCAUAUCAAUAAGCGGAGGAAAAGAAACUAACAAGGAUUCCCCUAGUAACGGCGAGUGAAGCGGGAAGGGCUCAAAUUUGAAAUCUUCAAGGGUUUCCCUUGACGAAUUGUAGUUUAAAGAAGUGGUUUCUGUUAGAGAGGUGGUAAAAGUUCUUUGGAAUAGGACAUCAUAGAGGGUGAGAAUCCCGUAUUUGAUCACUUUCUACUAACGUUGUGAUACACUUUCAAAGAGUCGGAUUGUUUGGGAAUGCAGUCCAAAAUGGGUGGUAAAUUUCAUCUAAAGCUAAAUAUUGGCGAGAGACCGAUAGCGAACAAGUACCGUGAGGGAAAGAUGAAAAGAACUUUGAAAAGAGAGUUAAACAGUACGUGAAAUUGUCAAAAGGGAAGCGUUUGACACCAGUGUUGUUUUUCCGAAAAUCAAUUAUGAAUGGCUUGAUUUUAAGUUUCAUGACCUUAAAAGCUUGUUUCUUAUUUUUCGUGUCUUUCGUAAUGCACUUUUCGGUUAACAAGUCAACAUCAAUUUCUUUUGUUGUAAAAGGGUAAGAGGAAGGUGGCUUGCGCUUCGGCUCAAGUGUUUAUAGCCUUUUAAUCUCUGCAAUCGGAGAGACUGAGGUCUGCAGCGUAGAUCCUUCGGGGUUAGAUACAUUUGUGCUAAGUUAUAAGCUUUUCAUAGACAACUUGUCGACUAUGUUUAGUCAUGUAGCUUACUCGCUUAUGCUAUUUUACCUACGCUUAGGAUGUUGAAUCUGUGCGAGACUAC
rnacentral:rRNA from 1 species